rnacentral:snRNA from 1 species
GGAUGUGAGGGCGAUCUGGCUGCGACAUCUGUCACCCCAUUGAUCACCAGGGUUGAUUCGGCUGAUCUGGCUGGCUAGGCGGGUGUCCCCUUCCUCCCUCACUGCUCCAUGUGCGUCCCUCCCGAAGCUGCACGCUCGGUCGAAGAGGACGACCUUCCCUGAUAGAGGAGAGGACUGUUCUUCGGUCAAGGGUAUACGAGUAGCAGCGCUCCCCUGCUAGAACCUCCAAACAAGCUCUCAAGGUCCAUUUGUAGGAGAACGUAGGGUAGUCAAGCUUCCAAGACUCCAGACACAUCCAAAUGAGGCGCUGCACGUGGCAGUCUGCCUUUUUUU